AUAUAACUUUAACACAAAAAAGCUUCAUCAUCUUCCUAAUUCAACCUGGUGUCCAAAACAGAGUUUUUUCUGCUGCCACUAUCGUCAUGAGUGAACCUCAAAAGAAGAUGGGCUACCUGAACCAAUUUGAUGGGAGGCAAGUGAUUGUCUUCAAACAUUUGAUUCAUGGAGAAUCAUUGAAAGCCAAAUCAGUCCAAUUACACGCCCAGUAUAAAGCGACGUUCUAUGAGUGGGACAUGCAUGUUGCUUUCUUAUUCGAUUGUGAAGGAAAACGCUUCUAUCUCAAAGUCGGAAAGGACCUGGAGCUGGUUGAACAACCUGAAGAAAAUCUGCCGAAUAUCUUGGGUGAAGAAUACCGCUUUAGGUGGGAAGAUGAAAACGGGACUGAGUGGAGGCGUCUGGAGCAUCAAAAAGACAACGUGGUGAAGCUCCUCUGCUGUGAUGAAAAGGGCAACAUUUUCUUGGACGAAUCGAAGAAAGAACCUGUUAGUAAUUACCUGUUUAAUAUAGAGAUAUAA
rnacentral:lncRNA from 1 species